CUCCCCCUGGUAGGCAGGAAGCUGCAGCUCUAACACACCAGUGAUGUAUCCAAGGCCAUACCAUUGGUGACUGGUGUGGCCAGGACCACACCCCAUGUUUCUGACUCAUAGUUGGGGAGAAUGUAGUCCUUAUGGGGAGAAGGUGUGGUGAGUCAGAGGCAGGCGUGGCCACCAUUUAUACGCCUUGGUGCUUGGAGACUGCAAGCCAAAAGUGACUGACAAGGCUCAGAGCUGAGCUGUGCGCAGGGCCUCCUUGCCUGUGGCCACCCUCGAGCAAAGCCCUAGAGGACAGAACCCCAACACUGCAGCAGAUAUGAGAUGGAGAAACCAACUAAGUGAGCUAUACCUGCUGCUGUCCUUCACGGUAGCUGGGUGUGAGAAAUACCACAGAGAUCGUGUUAAACCAGCCUCUCCCUGUCCCCGCUGGUCGCAUCUCAAAGGCCCCUGAGAAAGCCAGAAACUGGAGGAGGAGGUGAGAGGGGUUCCAGCCUCUCAUUUUUGAAUCCUGCCCCACCUCUGUUGCUUCCUCUUUCCCUCCCCAGCAUCUUUGCCUCAAUUCCCCGGAGAAUCUUCUGUUCUGACCCCUGUCCACCUGCCUCUUUUCUUUUUUCCUGGAAUUUUCACAUCAGUGCAUUCCUUAGGAAUAGGCUGCACACUUUCUGGAGCCUGCACCCUCCAGUCCUGUCCAGCCCUGACCAGACCUUCCCAACUGGUCAGCCUUGACUGAGGGCUGAUCUGAGCAGAAAGGACUCCUCAGCCUCAGGACAGCCUUCCAGGCACCAGGACCUUCUCUUAAGAGCUAAUGGAAAGAAAACCAGUACAUCCUGGGGACCCAGAAAAUGACCACGCUGAGACCUUCAUAAUAAAACACAUGUGUCUUGCUCCUGUUGACAACUGAGAUGUGGGUGUACUUGUGGGCAGGAGGGUGCGUGUUUGUGUAUGGACAGGCCAGAGACAACCUCAGGUGUUGUUCCUCAGACCCCUGACUUCUGGACUGGAACUCACCAAGUGGGUUAAGAUGGCUGACUGACAAGCCUCCUAUCUCUGUCUUCGCAGCACUGCGAUUACAAGCCCAUGACACAACAUGCAUUUUUAAACGUAGGUUCUGGGGAUUGAACGCAGGUCCUUACAGUUAUGCAACAAGUAUUUUGUUGACUGACUCUGAGCUCUUCCCUUCUUACCAUAUGCUUUUCUGGUUUCUGUCAUAGUUUUGGUUUGUUGUCUGUUUGAGAUAGGAUCUUGCUACACAGUCCUGUCUGGGAUGGAAUUUGCUGCAGAGCCCAGACUGGCUUUUGACUUGUAGGGAUCUCUAUGCCUCUGUCCUCCUGACCAUGCCCCCAC